UGAACGCUGGCGGCAGGCCUCACACAUGCAAGUCGAGCGGAUGAAGGGAGCUUGCUCCUGGAUUCAGCGGCGGACGGGUGAGUAAUGCCUAGGAAUCUGCCUGGUAGUGGGGGAUAACGUCCGGAAACGGGCGCUAAUACCGCAUACGUCCUGAGGGAGAAAGUGGGGGAUCUUCGGACCUCACGCUAUCAGAUGAGCCUAGGUCGGAUUAGCUAGUUGGUGGGGUAAAGGCCUACCAAGGCGACGAUCCGUAACUGGUCUGAGAGGAUGAUCAGUCACACUGGAACUGAGACACGGUCCAGACUCCUACGGAGGCAGCAGUGGGGAAUAUUGGACAAUGGGCGAAAGCCUGAUCCAGCCAUGCCGCGUGUGUGAAGAAGGUCUUCGGAUUGUAAAGCACUUUAAGUUGGGAGGAAGGGCAGUAAGUUAAUACCUUGCUGUUUUGACGUUACCAACAGAAUAAGCACCGGCUAACUUCGUG
rnacentral:rRNA from 1 species